ACACUCUGGAGAAUCCCAUUAGAUUGGGUGCCGAAGGUGCAAGGCUUAUGCCGAAUCUCUCAGGCAAAGGGACGGAGCGG
rnacentral:ncRNA from 1 species